UCCGGUUUGUCACCGGCAGUCACCUUAGAGUGCCCAACUGAAUGCUGGCAACUAAGAUCAAGGGUUGCGCUCGUUGCGGGACUUAACCCAACAUCUCACGACACGAGCUGACGACAACCAUGCACCACCUGUCACCGCUGUCCCCGAAGGGAAAGAUAUAUCUCUAUACCGGUCAGCGGGAUGUCAAGACCUGGUAAGGUUCUUCGCGUUAGCCUAUCGAGA
rnacentral:misc_RNA from 1 species